rnacentral:lncRNA from 1 species
GAGGUGGGGGAGGGGGAAGAGAGGCGCUCGGGGAGCUGGGACGGGCACCGGGUUGGGGGAUCCCGAAACCCCUGAAAGUUCAGUGACACCUCCAUAGUUCCCUCUUCCCCCUGCAACAAGAAUCACUCCAAACUUCCCAAACACUUUGGACCCAGCAAUUUCCAGGAGUUCAUCCUGAUGAGAGAACUGAAAGGGGUGCACACGUUAGUAACAAGGAGGCCUGGUGACCGCCUAAGGGUCCAAUCGCGGGGACCACCGGGUCAAGGGCGAGAGGAUGGAGACCGCGUCACAGGCACCUCGCUGCUGGAAUGGAGGGUGGUGGGGAGAACUUAGAAGAUUAUGCAAUGGGCUGGCAGGGCUGUACCCAGCCGCCCUGGUAAGCAGAGACUCAAGAAACCUCUGGGGUCCUGUUUUCUGGUCGUAUGAUCCCAGGAGUGCACAUGGGCCCCUCGGGUGUCA